GCUAAUACAUGCAAGUCGAGCGAACAGAUGAGAAGCUUGCUUCUCUGAUGUUAGCGGCGGACGGGUGAGUAACACGUGGGUAACCUACCUAUAAGACUGGGAUAACUCCGGGAAACCGGGGCUAAUACCGGAUAAUAUUUUGAACCGCAUGGUUCAAUAGUGAAAGACGGUUUCGGCUGUCACUUAUAGAUGGACCCGCGCCGUAUUAGCUAGUUGGUAAGGUAACGGCUUACCAAGGCGACGAUACGUAGCCGACCUGAGAGGGUGAUCGGCCACACUGGAACUGAGACACGGUCCAGACUCCUACGGGAGGCAGCAGUAGGGAAUCUUCCGCAAUGGGCGAAAGCCUGACGGAGCAACGCCGCGUGAGUGAUGAAGGUCUUCGGAUCGUAAAACUCUGUUGUUAGGGAAGAACAAAUUUGUUAGUAACUGAACAAGUCUUGACGGUACCUAACCAGAAAGCCACGGCUAACUACGUGCCAGCAGCCGCGGUAAUACGUAGGUGGCAAGCGUUAUCCGGAAUUAUUGGGCGUAAAGCGCGCGUAGGCGGUUUCUUAAGUCUGAUGUGAAAGCCCACGGCUCAACCGUGGAGGGUCAUUGGAAACUGGGAAACUUGAGUGCAGAAGAGGAGAGUGGAAUUCCAUGUGUAGCGGUGAAAUGCGCAGAGAUAUGGAGGAACACCAGUGGCGAAGGCGGCUCUCUGGUCUGUAACUGACGCUGAUGUGCGAAAGCGUGGGGAUCAAACAGGAUUAGAUACCCUGGUAGUCCACGCCGUAAACGAUGAGUGCUAAGUGUUAGGGGGUUUCCGCCCCUUAGUGCUGCAGCUAACGCAUUAAGCACUCCGCCUGGGGAGUACGACCGCAAGGUUGAAACUCAAAGGAAUUGACGGGGACCCGCACAAGCGGUGGAGCAUGUGGUUUAAUUCGAAGCAACGCGAAGAACCUUACCAAAUCUUGACAUCCUUUGACCGCUCUAGAGAUAGAGUCUUCCCCUUCGGGGGACAAAGUGACAGGUGGUGCAUGGUUGUCGUCAGCUCGUGUCGUGAGAUGUUGGGUUAAGUCCCGCAACGAGCGCAACCCUUAAGCUUAGUUGCCAUCAUUAAGUUGGGCACUCUAGGUUGACUGCCGGUGACAAACCGGAGGAAGGUGGGGAUGACGUCAAAUCAUCAUGCCCCUUAUGAUUUGGGCUACACACGUGCUACAAUGGAUAAUACAAAGGGCAGCGAAUCCGCGAGGCCAAGCAAAUCCCAUAAAAUUAUUCUCAGUUCGGAUUGUAGUCUGCAACUCGACUACAUGAAGCUGGAAUCGCUAGUAAUCGUAGAUCAGCAUGCUACGGUGAAUACGUUCCCGGGUCUUGUACACACCGCCCGUCACACCACGAGAGUUUGUAACACCCGAAGCCGGUGGAGUAACCUUUUAGGAGCUAGCCGUCGAAGGUGGACAAAGG
rnacentral:rRNA from 1 species